UACGUAGGGGGCAAGCGUUGUCCGGAUUUAUUGGGCGUAAAGAGCGUGUAGGCGGUUAGGUAGGUCCGUUGUGAAAACUCGAGGAUCAACCUCGAGACGCCGAUGGAAACCAUCUGACUAGAGUCCGGAAGAGGAGAGUGGAAUUCCUGGUGUAGCGGUGAAAUGCGCAGAUAUCAGGAAGAACACCCGUGGCUAAGGCGGCUCUCUAGUACGUGACUGACGCUGAGACGCGAAAGCGUGGGGAGCGAACAGG
rnacentral:rRNA from 1 species